GGGGUGGAGCAGUCUGGUAGCUCGUCGGGCUCAUAACCCGAAGGUCGCAGGUUCAAAUCCUGCCUCCGCAA
rnacentral:tRNA from 1 species